rnacentral:rRNA from 1 species
GUAGGUGGCAAGCGUUGUCCGGAAUUAUUGGGGCGUAAAGCGCGCGCAGGCGGUUCUUUAAGUCUGAUGUGAAUGCCCACGGGCUCAACCGUGGAGGGUCAUUGGAAACUGGAGAACUUGAGUACAGAAGAGGAAAGCGGAAUUCCACGUGUAGCGGUGAAAUGCGUAGAGAUGUGGAGGAACACCAGUGGCGAAGGCGGCUUUCUGGUCUGUAACUGACGCUGAGGCGCGAAAGCGUGGGGAGCAAACAGGAUUAGAUACCCUGGUAGUCCACGCCGUAAACGAUGAGUGCUAAGUGUUAGGGGGUUUCCGCCCCUUAGUGCUGCAGCUAACGCAUUAAGCACUCCGCCUGGGGAGUACGGCCGCAAGGCUG